rnacentral:ncRNA from 1 species
AAACACAUAUGUUUGGUCCUAGCUUUUUUAUUAGUUGUAAGCAAAAUUACACGUGCAAGUAUCCUCAAGCCAGUGAGAAUGCCCUUUAAAUCAUUUCGAUGAAAAGGAGAGGGUAUCAAGUACACAUAAAAGUAGCUCACUACACCUUGCUAAACCACACCCCCACGGGAAACAGCAGUGAUAAGAAUUAAGCUAUAAACCAAAGUUCGACUUAGUUAUGCAAUACAUUCAGGGUUGGUAAAUUUCGUGCCAGCCACCGUGGUCAUACGAUUAACCCAAAUUCAUAAAUAUCGGUGUAAAGAGUGUUUAAGAUUAUAACCAAACUAAGAUUAAAUUUUAUCUGUGUCAUAAAAAAUUAUAGAUAAAUUAAAACCCAAUAAACGUAAGUAAUCUUAUUAUAUCUGAAUACACGACAGCUUAGACCCAAACUGGGAUUAGAUACCCCACUAUGCUAAGCUGUAAAUACAAAUUAUUAAGGAAAAACAAAAUAUUUCGCCAGAGAACUACUAGCCACAGCUAAAAACUCAAAGGACUUGGCGGUGCUUCACACCCAUCUAGAGGAGCCUGUUCUGUAAUCGAUAAACCCCGAUAAACCUUACCACUUUUUGCUAAUACAGUUUAUAUACCACCAUCUUCAGCAAACCUUAACAAAGUAAAAAAGUAAGCACAACCACAAACAUAAAAACGUUAGGUCAAGGUGUAGUCAAUAAAGUGGGAAGAAAUGGGCUACAUUUUCUUAAUAAACAACACCCUAAAUGAAAGCUAUUAUGAAAUCUAAUAGUGUAAAGAGGAUUUAGUAGUAAACUAAGAAUAGAGAGCUUAGUUGAACAAGGCCAUGAAGCACGCACACACCGCCCGUCACCCUCCUUAAAUGUAUACAUGUAUAUAAUUAUGCUAAAUUAUACACAAAACAUCAAAGGAGAUAAGUUGUAACAAGGUAAGCAUACUAGAAAGUGUGCUUGGAAUACAAAGAGU